UACGUAGGUGGCAAGCGUUGUCCGGAAUUAUUGGGCGUAAAGGGCGCGUAGGCGGCACCCUAAGUCAGAUGUGAAACCCCGGGGCUCAACCCCGGACUGGCAUUUGAAACUGGGGAGCUAGAGUGCAGGAGAGGUAAGUGGAAUUCCUAGUGUAGCGGUGAAAUGCGUAGAUAUUAGGAGGAACACCAGUGGCGAAGGCGACUUACUGGACUGUAACUGACGCUGAGGCGCGAAAGUGUGGGGAGCAAACAGG
rnacentral:rRNA from 1 species